AUGUGAGGGAGAUCUGGCUGACAUCUGUCACCCGUUGAUUGCCAGCGUUGACUGGGCUGAUCUGGCUGGCUAGGCUGGUGUCCCCUUCCUCCCUCACUGCU
ensembl:misc_RNA 7SK 7SK RNA